rnacentral:lncRNA from 1 species
CAUCAUUAUCACCAUCGUUCUCCUCCACCACCAUCAUCAUCACCAUCAUCCUCCUCCACUAGCAUCACCACCAUCAUCAUCACCAUCAUCCGCAUCCGCUACCAUCACCACCAUCAUCAUCACCGUCAUCCUCCUCCACUACCAUCACCACCAUCAUCAUCAUCCUCAUCCACUAACAUCACCACCGUCAUUAGCAACAUCAUCUUCCUCCACUACCAACACCACCAUCAUCACCAUCAUCCGUCUCCACUAGCAUCACCGCCAUCAUCAUCAACAUCAUCCUACUCCACUAGAAUCACCAUCCCCAUCCACUACCAUCACCACUAUCAUUAUCAACAUCCUCCUUCACUACCAUCACCACCAUCAUCAUCACCAUCAUCCUCCUCCACUACCAUCACCACCAUCAUCAUCAUCCUCAUCCACUAACAUCACCACCAUCAUUAGCAACAUCAUCUUCCUCCACUGCCAUCACCACCAUCAUCAUCGUCAUCAUCCUCCACUACCAUCACCACCAUCAUCCUCCUCCACUACCAUCACCACCAUCAUCCUCAUCCUCAUCCACUAACAUCACCACCAUCAUUAGCAACAUCAUCUUCCUCCGCUGCCAUCACCACCACCAUCAUCAUCAUCAUUCUCCACUACCAUCACCACCAUCAUCCUUAUUCAGCAAUUCUUUAGUGUUCACAGAGUGCCA